CUGAAGUUUUCCCCCUACGGCAGAGAUUUUGUGGCAAGGAGCCGAAGAGCUGAUUAUGGAACCUCUCUAACUUCCCUAUCUCCUCGGGGAUGGAACCCUCCAGAAUGUUCUGCCGGAGAAACAGAUCGAACCUCUAAUAUACUCAGAUUCGAGAUCGUAAAGGUUCCUGGGGUUCCCCACCUCUUUGGGAAUGGAACCGGAGAGUUGAUUCACAUAGAGAUGUAGGAGGGUUAAAUUUCCGAUUGACGGAGGACCGGAGCCACAGAGAUUGUCUUUGUGGAGGUUAAGCUUCUGAAGCGGUUUAAUUUUCCCGAUUUCCGGCGGAAUGGCGCCACCUAACUGAUUUUUGAAAAGGUACAGUAUCCUGAGAUUAGUCAGGUUCCAAAAUGUGGCCGGAAUUUCGCCGGUAAAUCGGGUUGUAUCUGUGUAAAGCUCCAUGAGGUUGAGAAGAUUCCCAAUUUCUGGAGGGAUAGAACCAGAGAGCCGAUUUUCGUAAAGGAAGAGAGAAGUCAAGUUGGUCAAAUUGGCUAAAGAAAUGGGAAUAGGGAACUUCAAGAUUGUUGGAAUACAAAUUGGCCUAUUUCCCCAGGGAUUGAGCCAUUCAACUUGUUAUCAAACAAAUGGAGUGUCUGAAGGUUUGUCAAAAAUCUCACAUCCCUCGGGAUUGGACCUGAGAAUUGAUUGAUCGACAAAUCAAGAUAAACAAGUCCAGUAAGCUCACUUAUCUUGUUGGGUAUCGUUCCAGAUAAACUAUUCAUGCUAAGAUCAAGAAACUCAAAAUUUGAAAGAGAAGAAAAAGGAAAGUCAUGGAGCUUGGCGCUGAUACCUGAAUUUGUAAGAUUCAGACGGUUUAUGCUACCUCGGUGACAUGAUAUAUUGAUAUACCAUACCAGAAGCAGGGGAUAGAAGCAUUGGUGUUGACAUUAGGUUGAAAGGACCAUGAAGCUAGAAGGACAUUAUUGUUUUGGGUUAUAAAAGUGCAUUUCAAUUGCAGGAGGAGGGCUGAAGCUUCUUCAAUCGACGCAAAAGAACAAAGAGAACAUAACAGCGAAGAAGAUGAAAGAGAGAACACAUGAAAUUUUUAGAAGUUGAUGGCACUUCUACGUUUGUAGUUGAUGUGAGCUCACUAAUUGCAGUUAAUGUAUUUCGGAUGAUGCUAAUGAAGAGUUGGUGUUUGAUGAUAGAGAUGAAUGUAGUUGGGGAGAAAUUGCUAAGUCUUCAGGUCCAAAUGAAACUCUUUAUUCUCUUAAGCAUGCUUCUAAAGGAAAAGAGAAGGUAGGGAGUUCAAAGUCUAAGGGAAAGGGAAAGGGAAAGGGAAAGGAAAAGGUUCCCGAAUGUAGACUCGUGAAUGACGAUGACGUUGAUGAAGAAGCGUUUGAAGAUUAUGGAGUUAUUAAUUUUGACAAUUUGAAUUUGUGUGAUGAAGAAGAUGAUUUUGAGAUGGUGGAUUGAAUGAUUGAUUAUGAAUAUUGAAUAUGUGAUAUUUUAAUGACAAUUUGGCUUGAA